CUUCAACGUGGUAGCCCUCACAAGUAAACUGAUAUCAAGACUUAACAUAGAUGGUGAUGGUGGCAAGGGUGCCUUCAGAAGGUGCUAUCCAGCAGUCCCAGCCUGGAGCCAGAAGCUGCUAUUGCAAGUCAGAUGGGGGAGG